UACGGGGGGGGCAAGCGUUGUUCGGAAUUACUGGGCGUAAAGGGCUCGUAGGCGGCCAACUAAGUCAGACGUGAAAUCCCCAGGCUUAACCUGGGAACUGCGUCUGAUACUGGAUGGCUUGAAUCCGGGAGAGGGAUGCAGAAUUCCAGGUGUAGCGGUGAAAUGCGUAGAUAUCUGGAGGAAUACCGGUGGCGAAGGCGGCAUCCUGGACCGGCAUUGACGCUGAUGAGCGAAAGCCAGGGGAGCAAACGGG
rnacentral:rRNA from 1 species